rnacentral:tRNA from 1 species
UGGGCUAUGGUGUAAUGGUCAGCACAUGACAUUUUGGAUGUUAGAGUCUAAGUUCGAAUCUUAGUAGCCCAA